AGCUGGUACGCAGCACCCACAGCACCGCGGCAGCAGCCAGUGCCGACUCCCGCCUAGCUCUUUUGACUCUGUUCGCGGGAAGAAUGGGGAAACAGUAAGGUUGCGGCGCCUCCCGCGAGAAGAGGUACCUGAGGCUGGCGCCGCAGUCCCCCGCCGCACCGGCACCGGAGCUCCACACCCCACUUCCGGGGUCACGUCACCACCGGGAAUCCUGUGAUCGCAGAAGGAUUCAUCCCACUGGAAAAAUGUUUAUUCUUUCAGAUGGAGAAGGAAAAAAUGGAACCAUCGAGUUGAUGGAACCCGUAUGUUUAAGUAUUAAUAAGUUUCAUAUAUAUUAUAGUUAAUUCUUCAUCUGGAUUUGGUUUGUUGCCGAUGUUUCUAAUUUUUGGAAUGGAUUUAAAAAGGAUGAGCUGGUAAAACGUCCCUGGCUCUAAAAUUUAAUUCUUGUACUAUUCUCUCGUUGUAUUUCCUUUUACAUUUUUAAACAAUGAUUUGGGCUUCAUGAUUUUUGAACAUAUCCCAUAAAUGUUGGAUAACAAUUCUCAUUCCUUAUGAAAGACCAUAAAAUCACAUAAGAAAAAUUUAAAUUGCUUUUUUCUUCCUCAAGAGGUUUUUUGUUUCGUUUUUGUUUUUUGUUUUGAGACAAGGUCUCACUCUGUUGCCCCGGGUGGAAUGCAGUGGCACCAUCGUGGCGCACUGCAGCCUUAGCCUCGCGAGAUCAAGUUGCUCCCAUCUCAGCCUCCCCAGUAGCUGGGACUACAGGCAUGUUCAACCAUGCCUGGCUAAUUU
rnacentral:sRNA from 1 species